CACUCCUACGGGAGGCAGCAGUGGGGAAUAUUGGACAAUGGGCGCAAGCCUGAUCCAGCCACGCCGCGUGAGUGAUGAAGGCCCUAGGGUUGUAAAGCUCUUUCACCGGUGAAGAUAAUGACGGUAACCGGAGAAGAAGCCCCGGCUAACUUCGUGCCAGCAGCCGCGGUAAUACGAAGGGGGCUAGCGUUGUUCGGAUUUACUGGGCGUAAAGCGCACGUAGGCGGACUAUUAAGUCAGGGGUGAAAUCCCGGGGCUCAACCCCGGAACUGCCUUUGAUACUGGUAGUCUUGAGUUCGAGAGAGGUGAGUGGAAUUCCGAGUGUAGAGGUGAAAUUCGUAGAUAUUCGGAGGAACACCAGUGGCGAAGGCGGCUCACUGGCUCGAUACUGACGCUGAGGUGCGAAAGCGUGGGGAGCAAACAGGAUUAGAUACCCGUGUAGUCCC
rnacentral:rRNA from 1 species